rnacentral:other from 1 species
GUUCUACUGCGGCGUUGGUGACUGCCAACAAAGUUUUUUGAUCUUGCUUUGUGAAUAAGGGAACCCCACUAAGCUUCAAUGGCAGUAUACCGAGCUUGUACUCGGAAACUUUAUAUUGAGGCAGAGGUACCCACCUGGAGUCUUCCAGGUCGAAAACUGAGGUAAAACGGCGCUGCGGGGAACCC